rnacentral:rRNA from 1 species
AUGCUUGUCCCGAAGAUUAAGCCAUGCAUGCCUCAGAUAGAAGAAGUAGCUUGAACUCCAGAAUCUGCGAAAGGCUCCAUAUACCUGUUGAAACCUGUGUUGGUAAAGCAGUUGGAUGGAUACGGGAGUUCCUGCAUGGGAUAACCGUGGAAAUCCUUUGGCUAAUACCCAAUACUGAAUUAGAACACAGGAGUUGCUGCCCUUACUUUGGAACCAAAGUGAAAGGAUUCACCUGGUGUGUAGUAAAUAUUCUGCACUCCUCGUGGGUAGUGGGUGGAGACUCUAGAGUGGCAGAGCGGCGUACCCCCAGAAGGGGGCCUCCUUACGGGGCCCUGUGGAAGGGGGUGUGUCCAGCAUUUUUGGGCCCUCAGCCAUCUUACAUGGUUGGGGGUCUGGGGGUGCCUGUCUCCUCUUGGAAUUUCCCUACUAAACCUGACUGUGGUUCCUGGUGGGGCCGCGGCUCCUGUCGUGGUCUUCAGACCUAUCAACUUCAUGCAUUGGGCACGCCCACACAUGGUUUCAACGGGUACAGAGGAUUAGGGUUCGGUCCUGGAGAGGUAGCCUGAGAGAUCGCUACUACUUCUAAGGAUGGCAGCAGGCGCGCAACGUUCCCCAUGGGGAAACCCUGAGGACGUAACGGGACAUAGCAAUACCGAGCCCUUAAAAGCCCGGUAAUUGAAAUGGGGGAGAUACAAAUC